AUUGGACGCUGGCGGCAUGCUUUACACAUGCAAGUCGAACGGCAGCACGGACUUCGGUCUGGUGGCGAGUGGCGAACGGGUGAGUAAUACAUCGGAACGUGCCCAGUUGUGGGGGAUAACUACUCGAAAGAGUAGCUAAUACCGCAUGAGAACUGAGGUUGAAAGCAGGGGAUCGUAAGACCUUGCGCAACUGGAGCGGCCGAUGGCAGAUUAGGUAGUUGGUGGGAUAAAAGCUUACCAAGCCGACGAUCUGUAGCUGGUCUGAGAGGACGACCAGCCACACUGGGACUGAGACACGGCCCAGACUCCUACGGGAGGCAGCAGUGGGGAAUUUUGGACAAUGGGCGAAAGCCUGAUCCAGCAAUGCCGCGUGCAGGAUGAAGGCCUUCGGGUUGUAAACUGCUUUUGUACGGAACGAAAAGCCCUGGGUUAAUACCCUGGGGUCAUGACGGUACCGAAAGAAUAAGCACCGGCUAACUACGUGCCAGCAGCCGCCGUAAGAC
rnacentral:rRNA from 1 species